AACCUCCGCAAUGUGAGAAAUCGCGACGGGGGGAUCCCAAGUGCCAUUCUUAACGGGAUGGCUUUUCAUUAGUGUAAAAAGCUUUUGGAAUAAGAGCUGGGCAAGACCGGUGCCAGCCGCCGCGGUAACACCGGCAGCUCUAGUGGUAGCAAUUUUUAUUGGGCCUAAAGCGUCCGUAGCCGGUUUAAUAAGUCUCUGGUGAAAUCCUGUAGCUUAACUGUGGGAAUUGCUGGAGAUACUAUUAGACUUGAGACCGGGAGAGGUUAGAGGUACUCCCAGGGUAGAGGUGAAAUUCUGUAAUCCUGGGAGGACCGCCUGUUGCGAAGGCGUCUAACUGGAACGGUUCUGACGGUGAGGGACGAAAGUUAGGGGCGCGAACCGGAUUAGAUACCCGGGUAGUCCUAACUGUAAACGAUGCGGACUUGGUGUUGGGGUGGCUUUGAGCUGCCCCAGUGCCGAAGGGAAGCUGUUAAGUCCGCCGCCUGGGAAGUACGGUCGCAAGACUAAAACUUAAAGGAAUU
rnacentral:rRNA from 1 species